GUCUGUAUGCAGACUUUUGAAGUUGGAAGAUUUACAACCAAGUGUGACAUAUACUGAACAGCAAAACAAAUGUUACAAAAAAUCAGAUGAUUUUGUUAAUAAAAUUUAAGAAUUGAUUUGUCAGAAAUUUGGUCAACAAUCUGACAAAAACCAUUCCCCACUAUCCAUUUGCAUUUCAGAUUCAGUGAAAUAAAACAUAAAACAAACAUUUGAACUUUCGAAACCACAUUUACACAUCUACCUCCCAAACCAAACAAAUUGAAAAUACAAGAAACAAAAUA
rnacentral:lncRNA from 1 species